AUGAGAAAAAAGAAGACAAAAAAACCAGAAUCCAACUCAUUCAUCAACUCACUCUUACACCUACAUACUCAUUCAUCAAAUCCAACGGACGAGAAUCAUCCACCGCUUUAGAUCCAACGAACCAUACCUCCCUCACCUCCCACCGCGUACCGCUCCCAUCCACGGAAACCGCAUGCGCCAUCAUCGCCGAUCUCCUCUGCACCGCCGCCCACGAUUCGCCGCCGUCACUCACAAAUCGUGGCCGCCAGCCCCACACUGCGACGCCGCCCCUCGCCUCUCCACCGCGCCGCCACCCUACGGCGAUCCACCGCUGCCUCCGCCGAAGCCAAGUCACCCAUACUCGCUCCUCGAUCCUCCCGUCGCCAGAUCACCACCAGGCCGCUGAAACCGCCGAAGAAGCUGUCGGGCUCGUCGUAGCCAAGCCGAUCUCCUCCGUGCCGCCAGAACUUCAUCACCUCUUCUAGAAAUACGAUGCACACUGACAGAGAGAGAAAAGAGAAGAAGAAAAGCUGCAAAAGCCGGAAAAGAAUUGCGGAGGAGACCUCCUCCUAAUCGGUGGAAAAUAAAAAAAACAGAGAGAGUAGUUCUUGCUUCGCCUGCAAGGAAUCCUCUCCGCCCUGUGUUCCAAAAUUUUGAUAUGUGAUUUGAACCUUUGAAGUAGGACUACCCAACUAAAAUUCCUGACUACUCCUGUUCUGUCACUACACGCCUCCACAUCCCUACAUCCGAGGCUCCUACUCGGCGACUCCGAUUGGCAAUUGAAGUGUUUCCAUUCUUCUUAAAUUCAGGGUAUAUCCAGUGAGGUGUACCUCGCCAUGGACUGCAUCUGCGUCAUUGUCUGAGUGUCCACCUCGCUGAUCUCGUUCACGCCGCCAGGAUUGUGAUAUCAUGAGGACACAACCAUGAAAUUCAGCUCAUCUGGUAAGCUUUUGGAGGCAUGCAUUACUGUUACAGGGAUGGAAUAAUGAGAUCGCAUCAUCUUUUAUCAUGAAAUUUGAAGACUACUGACUACAGACCAUGCCAAUAUAAUUUCCUAUAUAUGCAACACAAUGCAGCUACAAGGAUAGGAUAAAGUUCAUUUGGUUUAUGUUUAGCAAGAGGACCUACCGAUUUGUCAGAUUACAGUUAUAUACCUUUUGCUUACCAUGAAGGCAUCCCCUUUUUACAUUUUAGUACGACGCUUCAUCUUACAUCGGGUUUUACUGGUUUAUAAUUUAUCAUUUAUUUUUUCAGCAUUUGAUUGAAUUUCUUGUACUAAAUCAUGUAAUUUUUAAUGUCUGUGGUUUUACAAGAACCUCUCCAACACCUUAAAGGAUGUUCUUUAGAAAUUAGAUGAUCUUCAAAGUCCACAUUCCUAGAGUCACUUGGGAGAGUACAAUUAGUGAACUAUUAGCAUACCGUACUUUUGAAUCAAUAUUCCUAUUUCUAGAGGCGAGAAAAAAGAAAGCAUGUCUAUUGUACUUGUAAUUACAUGUGAAUGACCCUGUAAAUUAUGUUAGGUCUCCAGUACUGUUGUAUGUGCUGCACUUAUUUUCCAGAUAACCCUUCUGAUAGCUCAAGUGAAGCUGAUCAUGAUAGCUCAAGUGAAGCUGAUCAUGCAACGAGUUUUAUGUGUUAGUAAGUCUUGUGUGUAAAUCAAUAUGCUGUGAGGUGCAAGUAUAAUUAAUGGAUCAACAUCAUUUCAUUUA